rnacentral:tRNA from 1 species
GUGACUGUAGCUCAGUUGUUUAGAGCGGCCGUACGGCAGGUCGUUGGUUCGAAUCCAACCAGGCCCA